rnacentral:lncRNA from 1 species
CUCUAAGAAAGAGUUGCACUGCAUAGACAAGAGCUGUUAUUUUAUGGAAUGAUUGUCUAAAUCUUUUAACCUAAUGUUCAAUUAAAGAUAUAACUUUUGUUUUUAGCUUCAGUGAAAUUGAUCAGUACAAACAAACAUAGUUUUUAGCAUAAAAAGACAAAAUGUUAUUUAAAUCACAAUACAUCUCAAUGAAUUUCUAUAUUUUUAUGAUUUCAGAUUAAAAGUGUUAACCAAUAUUCAACUAAUAAAACACCUUUCUGCUUUUGAAAAAAAAUGGCAUGGCAGGGGGAGUGAGGGCAUGGCAUGCCAUGCUUCUGGGGGAAAAAAUUACCCCCCAAAAGGGCGAAGUCAUUUAGAACCAACAUUCACAUAAAACUUAGGUGUGAUAAAGGUAAAAGCUGAAAAAUCUGACACUUGUAUUCAUAACAAAUCACUGGUUUUUUGAUGUGCCUUUCGAUAAUUAUUCCCACAUAUGGCUAACUGCAACCAGAGUCUCAUUUACUCUUAGUGUUUUGCAAUGAUUCUUUCGAAAAAAUAAAAGCAGUAAAAGUACUGAGUAAAACAGUGAAAGUAAAAAGAAAAGUAAAAAGAGUAAAAGUAAAAUAUUAUAGUGUGUAUUAUUAUAUUCUGUUUCCUCUGGUUUUGCAUUGUGUUGCUGGGAGGGAUUCGCUGCCCUACAGUUAAUGCCACUGUUGUAAGCACAUCUCAUAUGAUAAUAAAGAACAUGAGGAUCUUCCAUGAGUUGCCUGUUGUCACGGUAACAGAAUGUUUACACUUAUACAAACUCACAGAAAUUGCCUGGGCAACCAAAAUGUUUAUAUAGCUACAGAAUUUUGCCAUGCAAUAUUCAUAUUGGCCCCUGUUGAAGAAGGCUCUCACAACUCAUGGUCCUUUUCAUAACAGACCUCCAGCAUGGAUUUUCUCUGUCUACUUUACCCAGUAUUAUCCCUGAAGUACUUUACACCGUUGAUAUGUGUUGUUGGCUUAGUGAUUGCUGCAGCUAGCUCAAUUCUCAUCUGCACGAGACUCCAAGGCACCCAGCACCUUAUCCAAGGGAAACCUGAUGAACACGGUGAUCAGACCAAGGUGCCUGCUCCAGAGAGUGCUGACAAGCCUGCUGAGGACAUCUCUGGGGAAGCCUCUUUGGAUACCUCUGAAGAGCCUGCUCCAGGCAACAUCGAGGGGCCCGCUCUUGGCAUAUUUGAGGAACCCGCUUUGGGCAUCUUCGAGGAGCCAACUCUAGCCACCCAAACCCCACUCCAAGAAGACUUCUAUGAACAUGCUGACCUGGUAAAAUAUUGUGAAUACUCUAAGCCUGUGUGAAAGUAUGUUACGUUGAAUUUCUUCAUUUUCUUCAUGGUUCUGAAGAUCCUCAAUUAGGCAGAUUUUGCCCAAAGAGACUAGUUCCGGCGCUGCAGAACCUGUUCUGGACUGUACUGUGGAACCUGGCUCCCUCUGCUCCCUACUGUGUUUUAGCGCCAACCUAAUGCCGCACCCCGAAUCGUGCCCCAUACUAGCCCCAGUAGUCGGCCCGCUGGUGAACUUCAGGGCCCAUACAUUUUCUCUCUACAAUUGUGACUGAGCUUUCCCUUUGUAAAAGACAAGAAGUUAAAUUCUUGCCCUGAAUUAAACAAAAAAUAAUAUCAAAACAUUUUAAAUUCAAGGCUGAUUAAUGUACUUGCUGUAAUUCAAAAUAUAUGACAAAACACUUGUUUUAAUGAGUAUAUUUGAAAGAGAAACACUGAUGCGCCAAUCUGCAGCCAGGUUGCACCCCAUUCCCCAGACUGGUGGAUCAUUAAGGGGAAUCAAGCAUCAGAUGCAGCCAGUCUGUUGGUUAAAAAAGACUAUAGAGAGAACUUGGAGGUGAGAGAAGUUUGCAGCUUUCAAUACCGGGUGUAAAGUUAGCGUUCUGUUAUAACGGGGACUUCCUCCUCCUGUGCCCUUAAGGUGGAGUUCCUUCCCCAAGAAUAUCAGGGAGUCUCCCAGUCUGGGCACCUUUAAAUCCAGGCUCAAGAUCCACAUGUUCACAUCGCUUUCUGAUAAUACAUUUAAAUGCUCCAUUUGUCCUUUCAUUUGUUUGACUAAUAUUUUAUCUUCAUAAAAUGUUGCUGCUUUUGUUUCAUUAUUUACAUUUAUUAAUUUAGCUGACGUGUCAGUUUUGGGUACAUUCAAUCUUGUUCAAAGCCGAAAAGCCAUUUCCAAUUCAAUAUCCUUUAUUAAAUGUCACCAAGUUUUGCAGUUAAUUUUGGAGACAUAAUUAAAUUUACUUUAAGACCACCCACUGCUGCCCUGUGCUCUUUUAUUUCAUCGGUCUUCAUUGCUU